UACGGAGGGUGCAAGCGUUAUCCGGAUUCACUGGGUUUAAAGGGUGCGUAGGAGGGCAGGUAAGUCAGUGGUGAAAUCUCCAAGCUUAACUUGGAAACUGCCGUUGAUACUAUCUGUCUUGAAUAUUGUGGAGGUGAGCGGAAUAUGUCAUGUAGCGGUGAAAUGACUUAGAUAUGACAUAGAACACCAAUUGCGAAGGCAGCUCACUACUCAAUCAUUGACUCUGAGGCACGAAAGCGUGGGGAUCAAACAGGA
rnacentral:rRNA from 1 species